AAAAAGACUUUUCUAAAAGCCACAGGAAAGAAUAAAUAGAUAAUUAG
rfam:Canis lupus familiaris chromosome 5, whole genome shotgun sequence.